rnacentral:lncRNA from 1 species
CCCUGACAUCCUUCCUGGUCGAUGGGUCAAAAAUAAGCCCAAAUGAUGCAAUAGACUCAAGAGUCUAUAAAUUUCGUAUAGGUGCUGCCCUGAUCAGCGCACACUUGGUGAUAUAUUUUCUCCAGGGUGAGACCGAGUUAUCCUGUUUCAUUGUUCCAAGACUGCAUUGCUGGUGGCGCUUUCUUGCAGGUGCUGUCAGGUGAUCUAGAGGUGAGGUAAGUUUGUUCUUACUCUUUUAUAGUUAAGAAAGAGACUAGGAUUGUUGGAAAUUCAGUGUAGAAUACUCCUGUGCAGUUAUAUGGCUUCAAGAUAGAUCUGGCGCUACAUGAUUUUUACCUAUAUAAUACUUGGUUGUGAACCAUGUAGCUCAUUAUAUAAUUCGUUGAUUCUCCCUUUUUUUGAAAGAAACCAUUCUUGCUUUCUCAAUUAAAGCUCAAUUUCUUGAAUAUACCAGAAAGAAAAAUUAUCCUAUCAAGCUUUUAACAGAUCUUG